UGGCUCCGCCCCGACCCACAAUUAUCAGACAAGCACAUGAAUUGAUGACUUAUUUCAGGAAGUGUAGAAGUUUGAGUGUCAAGAAGGGAAGUUUCAGAUUAAAGGAAAGAGUUUAAAGCACUGGGUUCUGUACUGAGCAUCCCCCAACCACAUAAAACAUUCAAUUCACAAAUCUAUUCUGAUCUUUUAAUAUUUCCCCCCACUUUCUCCCUCAGGAAAUCCUUCAGUUGCUUUCUAAUUCAGUGAAGGCUUUACAGAAGGCUGAUUUCUGGGUUAAUCAAAAUACCCUGGAUUCCAAGAUAACAAAAUGCCCUUUGUCACAAACAAUUGCUUCUUGCAAUCCUGCCGAGCAAGAUGUAAAGAAAGCAAGGAGCCUUGGAUACAGCGCCCAAUGUCCUACUAAGCAGUGAAGCUUGUUUCUUUCAUCUUCCCUUGGAGAAAGAAUUCAGGUUGUAAGCUCCAGAAGGUCCUCUGUCUUUUUGGAGUACCUUCAGAGGAAAAUGGAGGUCCGUGGCAGAACGGGAGGAACCUCAAGAAACUCCAACUGUGGCUCUUUUUGACCCCACAUCUAUUUUUACCUAUCGGCUGCUAUUUAGACCUGCACCCUUGUAAUGAGGGUUACUUAUAUCAGGCCUGCUGCAGUCUGAAGCACAAGCACCAGCAGCAUAGAGCACCUGAUCAUUUUCUGCUUUAAAUUGUAUGUGAACUGCUUUGAGAGGCCUUAACCUGACAGAGAGGUGGUAUGCAAAUGACUCUAAUAAAUA